rnacentral:tRNA from 1 species
GAGUAGAGCUCAGUGGUUGAGUGCUUGCCUGGUAUGCAUAAGGCCUUGGGUUCCAUCCCCAACACUGCACA